GACCGAAUUCUCUCCGGGGCGGUUGCAUGGAAUAAAGAACGGCUGGGUCCGGCUUUUGUUCUCCCCGCCCCUUGCCGUUUCAGCAGCGGGGACCGGGGAUAGGUGUGGGGCGGUUCCAGGGAGGGGACUGCAAAGUCGAGCGGGGCGGAUGCGACUUUUUCCACGCGCGCCUCGGCCGGUGCGCGGCGGGGCAAAGGCUGCGCGGUGCUUACCCGGGAGGCGCGCGGCUUCGCGGCCCGCGGGCCUGCUUGCUCGGCCUCGCUGUCCCCACUCCGCUUUUCUCGUUUUCUCUUUCCAGCGCCCUUAUGGGCGGUUUUGGCUUUCUUGCCGGUAUGGUGGACUGAGCCAAAUGUCACCACCCUCUGCCUCCCAUCUCCGCACAGGAGAUCAGGUUUAGGAACUAGUCUUUGCAGCUGUGCCCGGUUGAAUGCGAUUGUCUUUUUCCUACGGAGAAGUUGGGUUGGCAGCACAGACUCGUGGGAGAAGGUGUCAGAUCCCCCUGGAACUGGAGUUACAGGCAGCUGUGAGCUGUCCAAAAGAUCCUUACCUACGUACCCACUAUUACCAGUCCACCUUACCAGGCGUCACAGAUGACGGAUGACGGAUGAGCACCACCCCACACCAUCUUUAUCAUGUGUGUCCUAAGCUGAAAAGGCACUUCUUUGUAGAUGGAACGUGUGUCUUCAUGAGCAAGUACAAGAAUGUAGCCUACGUCAAAGACUGAGUUCAAAUUCCAGGUCUAACAUAUACAGUUUCUGUGUGGCUUAGGAAAGAGUCUUUGGACCUUAGUCCUUCAUCUGGAAAAUUAGUAUACUUACCUCAAAGAGGAGGAGGACCAAUAAAAAUUGAGUGGGCAAAACAUCUGCAUAUAGCCUGCUGAAGAAAUGGAUGUUCAGACUGUAGGGAGCCCUACUUUGGGCAGACUAUGGGUUUCCUAAGCUGGGAUGUAAACUUCAAAUUAUUAACACGAAGGAUGGCUUCACUUGUGUUAGUUUCCUAGCGGCCAUACCAUCACACCUACUUUACUGAGCUGAGCUAGCAAGCACCGAGGACAGAAUUUUAUGAAAAUAUGCUCCCGCAGGGUGGCGGUGGCACACGC